rnacentral:tRNA from 2 species
GCCGAAGUGGUGGAAUUGGUAGACACGCAUGGUUCAGGACCAUGUGGGGGUUUCUCCGUGGAAGUUCGAAUCUUCUCUUCGGCACCA